GAUGAACGCUGGCGGCGUGCCUAAUACAUGCAAGUCGAGCGAACAGACGAGGAGCUUGCUCCUCUGACGUUAGCGGCGGACGGGUGAGUAACACGUGGAUAACCUACCUAUAAGACUGGGAUAACUUCGGGAAACCGGAGCUAAUACCGGAUAAUAUAUUGAACCGCAUGGUUCAAUAGUGAAAUACGGUUUUGCUGUCACUUAUAGAUGGAUCCGCGCCGCAUUAGCUAGUUGGUAAGGUAACAGCUUACCAAGGCAACGAUGCGUAGCCGACCUGAGAGGGUGAUCGGCCACACUGGAACUGAGACACGGUCCAGACUCCUACGGGAGGCAGCAGUAGGGAAUCUUCCGCAAUGGGCGAAAGCCUGACGGAGCAACGCCGCGUGAGUGAUGAAGGUCUUCGGAUCGUAAAACUCUGUUAUUAGGGAAGAACAAAUGUGUAAGUAACUAUGCACGUCUUGACGGUACCUAAUCAGAAAGCCACGGCUAACUACGUG
rnacentral:rRNA from 1 species